CAGCCGCCGCGGGAAUACGUAGGGUGCGAGCGUUAAUCGGAAUUACUGGGCGUAAAGCGUGCGCAGGCGGUUGUGUAAGACAGGUGUGAAAUCCCCGGGCUUAACCUGGGAACUGCGCUUGUGACUGCACAGCUAGAGUAUGGCAGAGGGGGGUGGAAUUCCACGUGUAGCAGUGAAAUGCGUAGAGAUGUGGAGGAACACCGAUGGCGAAGGCAGCCCCCUGGGCCAAUACUGACGCUCAUGCACGAAAGCGUGGGGAGCAAACAGGAUUAGAGACCCGCGUAGUCCCUGUCUCUUAUAA
rnacentral:rRNA from 1 species